GUUGGCGCGCAGAGGAAGGCAAUGGAGAAUUUUCUCGAAGACUGAUGUGAUUUUUACACGAUUGCACUCACCAUUCAAGCUCAUGCAAGAUCAAGAAUGAGUUCAGAAGGAUAACCACAAUUCCCCUGGAGCCAACCUUUCUGCAAAAACUGGACCUCUACACUCCAAAGCUCCUGGAUUUGUUUAAAAUGAAGGGUAGGGAUGCAGGCAUAAAAAUUAGAAGUGUGCUAGAUUCACUCAGCCAGGUAAAUGUAUAUAUUACACAUCUGAUAUCCUGCUGCUUCCUGACUUUAUAGAUAUGCAGUUGUAAGAUGGAAGUGUACCCUGUUAAUGUUCGCUGCAAUUUACUUUUGUUUUUAACAGCAAGUUGAAGAUAAGCGAGAUGCUGUGAUUUGCUGCCUGCUUCCCUACCUGGG